CAGCCGCCGCGGUAAUACGGAGGGAGCUAGCGUUGUUCGGAAUUACUGGGCGUAAAGCGCGCGUAGGCGGUUACUCAAGUCAGAGGUGAAAGCCCGGGGCUCAACCCCGGAACUGCCUUUGAAACUAGGUGACUAGAAUCUUGGAGAGGUCAGUGGAAUUCCGAGUGUAGAGGUGAAAUUCGUAGAUAUUCGGAAGAACACCAGUGGCGAAGGCGACUGACUGGACAAGUAUUGACGCUGAGGUGCGAAAGCGUGGGGAGCAAACAGGAUUAGAGACCCGUGUAGUCCCUGUCUCUUAUAC
rnacentral:rRNA from 1 species